GCGGAGGUAGCUCAGACUGGUAGAGCGUCAGCCUUCCAAGCUGAGGGCCGCGGGUUCGAAUCCCGUCCUCCGCUCCA
rnacentral:tRNA from 1 species